rnacentral:lncRNA from 10 species
GGGAGGCGGAGGUUGCAGUAAGCUGAGAUUGCAUCACUGCACUCCAGCCUGGGAGACAGAGUGAGACUCCGUCUCCAAAAAAAAAAAAGAAAAAAAAAAAAAAAACACCAGAUGAAGCGCUUUGAUCUAUCAAGUCGCGAGCUUGGCCUUGGCCCUUUUCCAAGUGUACUUUCCUUCCUUUGUUCCUGCUCUACAACUUUUAAAAUAAACUUUCACUCCUGCUCUAAAACUUGCCUCAGCCUCUCUUUCUGCUUUAUGCACCUCGGCCAAAUUAUUUUCUCCAAGGAGGCAAGAAUCGAGUUGCUGCAGACUUGUACAGAUUCAUCACUGCUAACAACAGUACUAAGAAGCUUUGGUCUACUUGUAAAACUCGCAAAUGGCAAUGGGACCAUGCUAGUGUAAUCACAAAGAGAAGCCCUGCCAAUCAUCCACUUUCCUACUCUCCAUAAGCAGAGACUCUGUGCAGAAAUUCCAGCACGCAGAAGCAGAGAACAGGUAACAGAUUGAGAGACUUGUGAAUGCCACACUUUAAUCUCAUCUCCUCCCCACCACCCUGAAAUCACAAGCUUGAACUGCCAUCCGGACCUGAGGCAACCUUUCCCUCAUUAAGACUAAGUUUCUCCUGUGUGCAGAAAUAUGAAGGAUGGAAGGAAAAGGAAGAGAUAUCCGGUACUAUUGUAGUCAUUUAUCUGUGGAUUGUCAAUACUUUUGUGUCUAACAUCAAUCAUUAAUAACCUGUGUUUGGUAGGCAUGAAAAGGCUGGCUGGGUUGUGUGAGUUCUUAGAUGGACCUAUAGCCAGAAUAAGAACAGAAAUGGUUUUCACAAUCACCUUGACACUUUUUUUUUUUUUUUUUUUUUGAGACGGAG